UGCCAACAACAAUUUUUAACAGUGAAGGCUGUCUAGUUUCCAGCAAAUUUGAUUUUGGAGAACUUUCUAAUUCCUCACCCAUUCUGGAAACGACCACUUUAGAUCCAAAGUGGCAACGAUUAAAAUGAAAGAAAAUAAAAUUUAAACCCAAGAUGAAAAUCUUAGUAGGCCAAGCUGAAGUUGAGAAUGCAAGAAGCAUUGAAGAGAAACAGGCAUGAAAUGGUGCUCUGCAAAUAGCUGAAGGUUUUCAGGUAAAAGACUAUGUGGAAUUGCUAGCCAAAUCAAUUAAUGAACGAGAUCAAAUCAGAAAGUCACAUAAAUUGCGCCGAACGAAUCGAAGAAAAGGAAAAGAGAAAAGAAUAACAACAGAAAAAGAGAAAAGCCAGCAUGUAGAAAAAGAAAACUGAAAAGAAAGAACAUAAAGUGAAUAAACUAAAGAAAAGAGGCAAAUUUGUCGUAUGAAAGACUGAAACUGACUCAUGGAUGAGCUAAACUCGUGUUCUUUUAUGUGCAGCUAUGCGUGAUAGUUUUUUAGAAAAAUACACUGGCAUGCCUUCCAUGAUCGUGGAAAA